rnacentral:rRNA from 1 species
UGGGGAAUUUUCCGCAAUGGGCGCAAGCCUGACGGAGCAAUACCGCGUGAGGGAGGAAGGCUCUUGGGUUGUAAACCUCAGAAAUUAGGGAAGAAAAAAAUGACGGUACCUAAAAUAAGCAUCGGCUAACUCCGUGCCAGCAGCCGCGGUAAUACGGAGGAUGCAAGCGUUAUCCGGAAUCAUUGGGCGUAAAGAGUCCGUAGGUGGCAUGAGAAGUCCGCAGUUAAAGACAGAAGCUUAACUUCUGAAAAGCAGCGGAAACUAGCAAGCUAGAGUGCGAGAGGGGUAAAGGGAAUUCCCAGUGUAGCGGUGAAAUGCGUAGAGAUUGGGAAGAACACCUGUGGCGAAGGCGCUUUACUGGAGCGACACUGACACUGAGGGACGAAAGCUAAGGGAGCGAAAGGG